rnacentral:lncRNA from 1 species
AAUUUUUAAGAACAUACUUUUACACAUUGUCAACUCUUAAAUAUUGAAACCACAUGAUUAUUUUGUUUUAAAAGUAUAUUAAUUCUAAAAGUAAUUCAAUUUUUUUUGAAGGAAGGUAAGGAUAGGGAUGAAUCAGAUUCAAAGUAAUGAACCUUUUCCCAAGUAUCAUCCCAUUGAUAUACAAAUUUUGAGACUGAAUAUGGUAUUUUAGCAGGUCUUAUUUUGAUAACUUCUGUGAAAUCACAGCUGGAGACUAUGUUCGAAUCCUCCUCUUUGGCCAGUUACAUGUUUGACCUAUAAAAUGAACUCUGGUUGUUGAGGCACCACCCAUCAUUAGCAGCCCACCAACACCUUAUUGCCAGCCAGGACCACUAGGGGGCAGUAACUCCUAGAUAGUUUCCAAUAAUGCAGGACACUUCCAAGCUGUGAUAAAAGUUGCUACUCAGUACUAACUUGCAUUU